rnacentral:lncRNA from 1 species
UGGGUACUAANAAUUUCAUCUAUUCCACUCUCUCUUACAUACUACCCUUGAUUAUUAGAUUGAUUAAAUUGUUAUGCGACUUUCUUAGCCUCCCCUUAACCCGAUCCCUCGGCGAAAAGGGCCUAAUAUCAAUUACCGGCUUGCUAUCCCUAGCUUCCCCUAGUAAUUAAUACCGCAUUAUAAACAGAAGUUAGCGCAAUUGAUCGUCCUACCCCUAUCCCUAGGUGGUAUUGCAAAAUCAAGAGAUUACUCACCA